UACGGGGGGGGCAAGCGUUGUUCGGAAUUACUGGGCGUAAAGGGCUCGUAGGCGGCCAACUAAGUCAGACGUGAAAUCCCUCGGCUUAAUCGGGGAACUGCGUCUGAUACUGGAUGGCUUGAGAUUGGGAGAGGGAUGCGGAAUUCCAGGUGUAGCGGUGAAAUGCGUAGAUAUCUGGAGGAACACCGGUGGCGAAGGCGGCAUCCUGGACCGGCAUUGACGCUGAGGAGCGAAAGCCAGGGGAGCAAACGGG
rnacentral:rRNA from 1 species